CGGCCGGGGUGGGAGCGAGGGAGGGAGCAGGCACCGGCGGGGCGGCCCCAGCUCUGGGCGCAGCCCGGCCCGGUCCGGCAGGUGCUGCCGUCCCGCCCCCGCCGCGCGCUCCAUUCCGCCUCCGUCUGCUCGGGCGGCACUGGUGGCUGCGCUCCUCGGAGCCGCCGGGAAGCCGCUCCGGUGCUGCUGCCGACCGCGAAGCCCCGGCAGGGGCGACUCGCCCCCUGCUCGGCUCCCUGCUCCGCGCAGCGCCAGCUUGCCUUUGCCGUUUGCCCCUCAAAACCAGCCCUCGUAAUUCUCCGUGUCCCUGUCACCUGCGUGUUUUGAACACCUUAUUUCAGAUGGAUUCAUUUCCAUUCGUUUCACGAAGUGACUCGGCUGUCGGUUACAGCAUCGGGAAUUAGCGGGGAGCAGAAGCCCCGGCGGGCAGCCAGACUGGGACGGUCUCGGCCGGUGCCGAGGAGCGGCCCAGCACAGCGCGAUGCCCCCUCGGCGCUGGGCGCUGCGGGCCGGAGCUGCGGGCUGCGGACCCUUUCGUCUCCCGAGCGGGCGAAGUGCCCUGACCGCCGGUACUGAACCGGGUGUGUUCGGUCUGCAGUGACAGCGUACAGUUCACCUUGGGUUUAAACAAAACGUUGCUUAAAUUAAAAAGCAAACGAGCAAAAAAGACACUUCAGAGCCCGCUUAGUCGUAGGAUUCGAUGCGUACCUGCUUAUGUGCUGUAAAGUGUUAACUGGAGUGAGCGUGACAUGGGCAGAUUGCUCUGAGCGCAUCGGAAGGAGUGGAAGGAGCGCCUUAUUUCAACGAAUGCCUGCGAUCUCGUUCCUUGCUGGUUGCCGGCAUUCGCUGUUUAACUCUGCUGGGACGGCUGCUCCUAGGUAAAAGCCUUCAGAUGGAAGUAAGCUUGCAGACUUCCCAGCAAUGGGCGCGCGGCGGGCAGCGGGCUCCGUGCGGGCGCUGCGGCGGGGCGGGGCAGCUGCAGCCUUCCUCGGGCCGGGCCGCGCCGCGCGGCUCCGCAGCAGCUGCUCGCGUGGGAGCGCGCGCGUCGGGUGGGCUUCUUCCUGCGCUUCCAAAGUAAUAGGCGAGAUGUCCGCCAUCUGCUCAGGGAUAUCCUGCGUGUACCGAAAUCGGACGCGUGACCGGCCGUCCGUAACAAGCAUCCCACAUUUUUCUACAUGGAUUUGGCUUGCCAAGACAUCUGCUUUUAUUAGCAGCAGUUGAUCUGCCCGUAACGAGGAAUCAAACGCCUACAAUUUCUUAAAGGAACAUUAGUAGGAGGUCCGUUCUUCAGUUUUAUAAACAUUUUUUCACCUCAGCAAGGCCCACAAGACCUGGGUGAAGGCCAGCGUAGACCAAAAACAAGUCGUCUGAUGCAUGUGCAGAACUUAAGGCCAAUAUAAAUGCAUCCAUGUAAUGUAUGUUUAUGAAAAAACCAGGGAGAAUGGUUUCAAAAAGACCACCGAGAAACAGAUCACACGUGAACAUUUCUUCUGUGUAUUUGAGAGAGUGUAAUUGCAGAGAUAUGUGGAUAAUUUUAUUUGUAGAUUGUUACUUACUUAACGACAGGAGAGAAAACGGCAUUUUGUUGCCACUCUCCACUCUGGCAGAAAUGUAAAGAAUAAACUGUUGUGGUAAAUAGAAACAUGCAUACUACUUAAAAAGAAACAAACAAGUUUUCCUAAGGGAAGCUGUUGUUGAAGCACAAAUUACUAGAACACAAGAAAUAUAUAUCUGCAUUUAUGAUUUAACUUUGUGGUAUAUCUCUGAAGAAAUGUUUAAUCAUUUUGCAAAUGCUGUAAGCUGAACUGAUGAAAUGUAUUAAAGCUACCGCUGUGAAUGCUCUGCUUCAUCAUAAGAUUUUAAUAAUGCAUAAGGUGAUGAAAUAUAUCUCAAAUAUAAGAAAAAAACCCUUCGCCCUGGUAGGUAGAAAAUGAAAGCAUCAGUUAAAGACCCAUAGUCGUUUUUAUGUGAGUCAUCCUGAAGUUCGUGACAGUAAGCACUGCUCUGUGUUAGCAAGGGUGGUAGAUUUGACUGUUUAUUAGAAUUAAUUCUGUAUUCCAACUUUCAAACAGAAAUGUCACGCUAAUGCCAGCAUUUAUUGGUAUCUGGCGGAGUUUGGAGACAGUGAGUUUUUGCUCUUUUAAAAUCAAACACUCUGUGAAGCAAUUCUUUCCCCAGAGUGGGAUUUGAUCUCAUUGUCACUUCUGGCGCACGCAAAGACACAUGUAACUGUUUUUUUCCAUGCGUCCAGGAGAAAGAAGCCCACAUGAAAAAAAAAAGAAAAAGCAAAAAACCUGACCAACAGUCUCUCCUCACAACCCCAGCUCCAAAAAAUAUGUUGUGCUACAGUUGUCCCUCAUUUGCCAAGUUCUCUGUUUUGUCCUUUAUUNAGACCUGCAUUCACUCUGCAUCAUGUAUUUUACACAUAGUUGUUAGGCAAGGAUGUAGUUUCACAAUACUCUGCCUUUAGGGGCAAAGCCAGAUUAAAGGAACCUGUGUUUUCCCCUAACAUGCUGCUGGCUGUUUGUUAUCCUGUACUACUGUUCACCACCACCCACACACAAUGGAUUAUGAAGCCAUGCUGACAUGAUCUGAAGUGAUCCACGUUAAAAAUAACUCUCCAGAAGGGUUAUUUUCAGUGAUCAGCCUUAAGCUGUGCUCCCACAAACAGUUGUUGUGGCACAACCGAAGGGGGGAAGCUGCAGCGGAAGAGCAGCACCACACAGCCGGAGGUGGGAGAGCAGCUGAAGCCAAUGUGGUGUGGUCAUGUGCCAGUAGUCCAGAGGUAGGAUGGGCCCUACUGUCAUUAACACCUUUGCAAAUAUGGUUUUGAUCUAAUCCUGCCAAAGGCAAUAGGCUUCUUGACACUGAUCAAGGGAACUGGAAAGGUGGUCUUUCCCUCACAUUGACUCACUAAAUUGCAAAGGUUGGUUGAUUGUUGACUUUUUUUUUGAUGGAGAAUGCUUUGCAGUAUAUUUCCUAAUUAAUAAUUCUAUAAUUAUCUUAUGUGAACCACACUUUUCCAUAUUUGUGACCUGGAUGUUUAAGCUGAUUGCAUAUUCUCAUGUAAAAUCAGAAAU
rnacentral:lncRNA from 1 species